rnacentral:rRNA from 1 species
UGAGUGCGUGCGGCUACGGCCGCGAAGUGGGUGAUGUCAAGCUUCCAAGAAAAGCCCUAUACCCGUUAAGGCAUGAUGGCCUGUACCCGAAACCGACACAGGUGGGGUGGUAGAGAAUACCGAGGGGCGCGAGGUAACUCUCUCUAAGGAACUCGGCAAAAUGGCCCCGUAACUUCGGGAGAAGGGGUGCCACCGCAAGGUGGUCGCAGUGAAGAGGCCCAGGCGACUGUUUACCAAAAACACAGGUCUCCGCUAAGUCGCAAGACGAUGUAUGGGGGCUGACGCCUGCCCAGUGCCGGAAGGUUAAGGAAGCUGGUCAGCGCAAGCGAAGCUAGCGACUGAAGCCCCGGUGAACGGCGGCCGUAACAAUAACGGUCCUAAGGUAGCGAAAUUCCUUGUCGGGUAAGUUCCGUCCCGCACGAAAGGCGUAACGAUCUGGGCGCUGUCUCGGAGAGAGGCUCGGCGAAAUAGAAUUGUCUGUGAAGAUGCGGACUACGUGCACCCGGACAGAAAGACCCUAUGAAGCUUUACUGUAGCUUGGUAUUGUGCCCGGGCUCUGAAUGCGCAGGAUAGGUGGGAGGCUUUGAUCCAUGGCUUGCGGGUCAUGGUGAGCCAACGGUGAGAUACCACUCUUUCAGAGCUAGGGUUCUAACGGUCACCCGUCAUCCGGGGACCGGACAGUAUCAGGUGGGCAGUUUGACUGGGGCGGUCGCCUCCUAAAAGGUAACGGAGGCGCGCAAAGGUUUGCUCAGGCUGGUUGGAAAUCAGCCGACGAGUGCAAAAGCAGAAGCAAGCUUGACUGUGAGACCUACAAGUCGAACAGGGACGAAAGUCGGCUUUAGUGAUCCGACGGUUCUGAGUGGAAGGGCCGUCGCUCAACGGAUAAAAGUUACUCUAAGGAUAACAGGCUGAUCUCCCCCAAGAGUUCACAUCGACGGGGAGGUUUGGCACCUCGAUGUCGGCUCAUCGCAACCCGGGGCUGAAGUCGGUCCCAAGGGUUGGGCUGUUCGCCAUUAAAGCGGUACGCGAGCUGGGUUCAGAACGUCGUGAGACGGUUCGGUCCAUAUCCGGUGCACGCGCAGGAACAUUGAGAGGAUUUCUCCCUAGUACGAGAGGACCGGGAGGAACGCACCUCUGGUGUGCCAGUUAUCGUGCCAACGGUAAACGCUGGGUAGCCAUGUGCGGAGUGGAUAACCGCUGAAAGCAUCUAAGUGGGAAGCCCACCUCAAGAUGAGUGUUCCCAUGGCAUAAGCCAGUAAGGUCACGGGAAGAACACCCGUUGAUAGGCUCUACGUGGAAGCCGGGUAACCGGUGAAGCGGAGGAGUACUAAUAGACCGAGGGCUUG